rnacentral:lncRNA from 1 species
CCCAAUCGACGGCCAUGACGUCAUCAACGAUAGGUUUGGAGCUAGCAACGGCGCUGACGUGGGCGGGGUGCUCCGUGUAGGAGGUCAGGUCGGAUUUGGACCGGUAACGGGAGUGGAGCAUGUGGGUGAAGGGGAGAGGGUUGGACCGGCGACCGGAAACCGGACCGGUGGAGAUGUGGAGAACUGAGUCGAGGGAGAUGAGGCCGCUGAGGCUGCUCAUCAUGGCGUCGACGGCGGAGGGGUCGGCGUCGGGCUUGAGGUGAAAAAGCACGAUGUGUUCGAUGAUUUGGUUAGGGUUGGACUCUGAAUCGGAAGACGACAUUCCGAGCGGAUAAAGGCGGAGAUGGGGGGAAUCAACGGUGGUUUGUGGAUGAAAGCGGCGGUGAUGAAUGGAGGUGAACUCUGGUGAAGUGGGUGCGUGCGAGCCAAUCCCCAUCAUUAUUAUUUUAUGAUUUUAUCUGAAUCAAGUGGAUGCUGGUGUGGGUCAUCCUCACUAAUAUAUAAUUAUAUUAUUCAAUAGUGACUUCACUUGUUGCAAAUUUCUUCAACACCAAAGUGAAUUAUGAAAACCAGGGUUCAUCAUGCAAAUUGAAUACUAAUAGUUUUUAAUCAAUUAUUAAAAUUAGAAUGAACUAAAACAACACGUUUUCCUAUUUAUUUUAAUUUCUUAUUUUAUUCAAUUGUGCCCUUUUAUUUUCUUUCGUAUACCACGUGUACGUGUGUUUAUGUAGAUCUACAGUUUAAAAACACAUGGUGUAAUUCACUAAUUGUACGAUAUCUUAAGCCAAAGUUAAUGAAUUACAUAUUUGAAUUAUAGAGCUUCACCAUAAUUGUAUGUAUUUGUCACUUUGUUGUUACAUUAUUUUUCAAUGUAGAGUCAUCUCAAAUAUUCUCAUUUAUAAUUAUUUUAAAUUUAUUUGUUUCAAAUCUUUCAAUCCAAGCAAACGUUGCAUAAGAAAAGUGAAGGAGGAGAGGUAGGGGUGCACAACGUCAGUUUUUCACUUAAUAACCAGUGUAGGACACACUAACAUUGUGAUAAUUGAUAUACAGCGCGCCGAGCCCACCUCUCAAAUGCACAAGUAAAAACGGUCGAUUUUCACCACCAAAAGUUUGAAAACGGUGAACCAAACACUUCCUUGCAGAAUCCAUACAGAAAUCUAGAACAAAAAUUGAUGUGUAACGAAUAACGAUACGGCAUUCAGCACUCUUACGACUCAUUAACUCUAGAUCUCGUCACUCUCAUCUCAUUUCGUAUCCAGAGAAAAUUUCUUCAAGGGCCUGCCUUAAACACAUCGCAUCUGCCAAAAUCAACCCGAGAAAAGUAAACAACACAUGCAUAUCUAAUUCACCUCUAAUAGACGUCUCCAACUUACUAACCAAGAAAGGAAUCUGAAACAAGGAUCUUUAUUGAAUCUAAUUCCACACAGUAAACACUGAACUACCUUAGAAUGCAUGCUAUGGAAGAUGAAAAUCAUAUAAAAAAAAGAAAUCGUCCCAAAUUGGAUCCACGAGUCCAACGUUUCUGCCUAGUUUUGACUAAAACAUGAACCCCUUUCAGGACUUGAACUAAACCAACAAAUCGAAAGUUUAAAUCCUACCCAAUACAAUAUAAUCACUUCACUUUUCAACAAUAUACAGCAUAUAAUACGUGUUUCAUAAUGCUUUUCAAAAUCCUUUGUACGCCAAAUAACACAUAAAGGUAGAGACAGCACCCACAAACAAAUGCACGUUCACACGAACCGUGUGCAUGUAUACAGGGAGCAUUAGAAGAUAGGCUAUCCGCAAGUUAUGGCAAGUGGAACCAUUUAAAAUACCGAAACUGCCGUUAGCGAAUCUAGAAGAACACACGUCAACUCUCAUCUAUCAACUAUAAAAAUUAGAAAACCUGAUACAUUCUUACCCUCGAGCUAUAUAUAAUCAGUUAAUCACUCAUCAUUCUUGCUAAGAUUUAUCGGUCCGAGAUUGAAUACGAUUCAUAUUCCUUUUAGUGGUUCAAAAAUUAUCUUGAUUAGGUAAAGAUGGCAACAAUCAAGACUCUAAAAGAAUGGACGUAAUUUGUAAAGCGUAUUCAUCUCGAUUCUCAAUGAUAUCAAGAAAUUCCAAAACAAUGAUCCCAUGAAACAAAGAUUAGUGUUUUUGAACCUUCCUUUUAGCAUUCAAUCCGGCAAUCAAAAUCGAACUUUAAUUGUUCGAUUUUUCCCAUUCAGUGUGCCAUUGAUUUCAAGUCGAGUCGUUUGAUCUCAAGUACAUAACCAAUGUAAACAACAAAAUUAUUUCCAUUUACCUAGUUAACAAAUCCAAAAACCGUCCAACGAAAGACAUAAAAAGACAAUUUAACGAAAAUAUUCCGAUUACAUUGACCUUAAAUCACGCUUAGAGGGUAGCAGCUUGAACCGGUGCUGCAACGGCGUAAUCCAACACCAAAACACCGUCGAGAAACUCCCUGACCUUAUCCUUCUGCUCGUUCGCAAGCUCCGAUUGCGCGUCCAGCUCAUCCAAUUCAUUCCUGCCGUUGAAAACCGCAAUGGAGCAGAUCGAGAAACCCUUAGCCCUAGCCGGAGAAAAGUUCUCCCCAACAGUCAGCUGCUCAAUCGAAGGAAACUUCUCCCGAAUCCCCUUCAAAACCCCCAAAACCUCGCCUUUUCCACCCUCCCCUGCGCCUUCCUUCAAUUUCAAAAUCGUCAACCGCAAUGCCGAAUCGGGAGAAACAGCCGGCGAUCCGGAGAAGUCAUCGGCGAUCCAAUCGACGGCCAUGAUGUCAUCAACGAUGGGUUUGACGUAGCUGGUGACGACGCUGACGUGAGACGGGUGCUCCGAGUAGGAAACCAGGUCGGAUUUGGACCGGUAUCGGGAGUGGAGCAUGUG